GCCCUCAUGGCUCAGUGGUAGAGCAUUCCCUUGGUAAGGGAAAGGUCACGGGUUCAAAUCCCGUUGAGGGCU
rnacentral:tRNA from 2 species